UACAAAUUAGCUCAGUCAGUAGAGCAUUUGACUCUUCAUCUCAGGGUCAUGGGAUUGAGCCCCACAUUGGGCAA